rnacentral:rRNA from 1 species
GACGGACGCUGGCGGCGUGCUUAACACAUGCAAGUCGAACGGAAAGGCCCUGCUUUUGUGGGGUGCUCGAGUGGCGAACGGGUGAGUAACACGUGAGUAACCUGCCCUUGACUUUGGGAUAACUUCAGGAAACUGGGGCUAAUACCGGAUAGGAGCUCCUGCUGCAUGGUGGGGGUUGGAAAGUUUCGGCGGUUGGGGAUGGACUCGCGGCUUAUCAGCUUGUUGGUGGGGUAGUGGCUUACCAAGGCUUUGACGGGUAGCCGGCCUGAGAGGGUGACCGGCCACAUUGGGACUGAGAUACGGCCCAGACUCCUACGGGAGGCAGCAGUGGGGAAUAUUGCACAAUGGGCGGAAGCCUGAUGCAGCAACGCCGCGUGCGGGAUGACGGCCUUCGGGUUGUAAACCGCUUUCGCCUGUGACGAAGCGUGAGUGACGGUAAUGGGUAAAGAAGCACCGGCUAACUACGUGCCAGCAGCCGCGGUGAUACGUAGGGUGCGAGCGUUGUCCGGAUUUAUUGGGCGUAAAGGGCUCGUAGGUGGUUGAUCGCGUCGGAAGUGUAAUCUUGGGGCUUAACCCUGAGCGUGCUUUCGAUACGGGUUGACUUGAGGAAGGUAGGGGAGAAUGGAAUUCCUGGUGGAGCGGUGGAAUGCGCAGAUAUCAGGAGGAACACCAGUGGCGAAGGCGGUUCUCUGGGCCUUUCCUGACGUUGAGGAGCGAAAGCGUGGGGAGCGAACAGGCUUAGAUACCCUGGUAGUCCACGCUGUAAACGGUGGGUACUAGGUGUGGGGUCCAUUCCACGGGUUCCGUGCCGUAGCUAACGCUUUAAGUACCCCGCCUGGGGAGUACGGCCGCAAGGCUAAAACUCAAAGGAAUUGACGGGGCCCCGCACAAGCGGCGGAGCAUGCGGAUUAAUUCGAUGCAACGCGUAGAACCUUACCUGGGUUUGACAUGGAUCGGGAGUGCUCAGAGAUGGGUGUGCCUCUUUUGGGGUCGGUUCACAGGUGGUGCAUGGCUGUCGUCAGCUCGUGUCGUGAGAUGUUGGGUUAAGUCCCGCAACGAGCGCAACCCUUGUUCACUGUUGCCAGCACGUUAUGGUGGGGACUCAGUGGAGACCGCCGGGGUCAACUCGGAGGAAGGUGGGGAUGACGUCAAGUCAUCAUGCCCCUUAUGUCCAGGGCUUCACGCAUGCUACAAUGGCUGGUACAGAGAGUGGCGAGCCUGUGAGGGUGAGCGAAUCUCGGAAAGCCGGUCUCAGUUCGGAUUGGGGUCUGCAACUCGACCUCAUGAAGUCGGAGUCGCUAGUAAUCGCAGAUCAGCAACGCUGCGGUGAAUACGUUCCCGGGGCU